rnacentral:rRNA from 1 species
UGCAUAUCAAAAGCGGAGGAAAAGAAACCAACAGGGAUUGCCUCAGUAACGGCGAGUGAAGCGGCAAAAGCUCAAAUUUGAAAUCUAGCACCUUCGGUGUUUGAGUUGUAAUUUGAAGAUGGUAACCUUGGGUUUGGCUCUUGUCUAUGUUCCUUGGAACAGGACGUCAUAGAGGGUGAGAAUCCCGUCUGAUGAGAUGCCCAUUCCUAUGUAAGGUGCUAUCGAAGAGUCGAGUUGUUUGGGAAUGCAGCUCUAAGUGGGUGGUAAAUUCCAUCUAAAGCUAAAUAUUGGCGAGAGACCGAUAGCGAACAAGUACAGUGAUGGAAAGAUGAAAAGAACUUUGAAAAGAGAGUGAAAAAGUACGUGAAAUUGUUGAAAGGGAAGGGCAUUAGAUCAGACUUGGUGUUUUACGAUUAUCUUCUCUUCUUGAGUUGUGCACUCGUAUUUCACUGGGCCAGCAUCGAUUCGGAUGGCAAGAUAAUGGCAGUUGAAUGUGGCUUCACUUCGGUGGAGUGUUAUAGCUUCUGCUGAUAUUGCCUGUCUGGAUCGAGGGCUGCGUCUUUUGACUAGGAUGCUGGCGUAAUGAUCUAAUGCCGCCCGUCUUGAAACACGGACCA